rnacentral:rRNA from 1 species
GCUAAGAAUAUUCCACAAUGGACGAAAGUCUGAUGGAGCGACACCGCGUGAAGGAUGAAGGCUUUCGGGUUGUAAACUUCUUUUAAUACCGACGAAUAACUGACGGUAGGUAUUGAAUAAGCCUCGGCUAACUACGUGCCAGCAGCCGCGGUAAUACGUAGGAGGCAAACGUUGCUCGGAUUUACUGGGCGUAAAGGGUGAGUAGGUGGAGAGAUAAGUCUAAGGUGAAAGACUCACGCUCAACGUGAGUAACGCCUUAGAUACUGCCUUUCUUGAGUGAGAUAAAGGAUAACGGAAUUCCUGGUGUAUGGGUAAAAUCAGUAGAUAUCAGGAAGAACAUCAAUGGCGAAGGCAGUUAUCUGGGUCUCAACUGACACUGAAUCACGAAAGCCAGGGGAGCGAACGGGAUUAGAAACCCCUGUAGUCC